GUGUGUGUGGGGGGGAUGUCCUGAUAUGUGUGUAAGGAAUGCAUUGUGUGAAUCUGUGUUUGUAUGUGUAAGGGCUGCAAGGUGAGUUUGUGUAUGUAUGGGAUGCAGUGUGUGCGUCUGUAAGGGAUGCAUUGAGUGUGUGUAAGGGGUGCAUUGUGUGUUGCUGUGUGUAAGGGAUGCAUUGCUUGUGUAUGUGUGUCUGUGUGUAAUGCA